rnacentral:rRNA from 1 species
GGCCUUUUGAGUAUGAUUUAAGGUCUUGCCUGCCCAAUGAUGUAAAAGUUUAAUGGCCGCAGUAUUCUGACUGUGCAAAGGUAGCAUAAUCAUUAGUUUUUUAAUUGAAAGCUUGUAUGAAAGGUUUGAUGAGAGAAAGACUGUCUCUAUUUAAAAUUUUAGAAAUUUAUUUUUAAGUUAAAAAGCUUAAAUUCUUAUUGAAGACGAGAAGACCCUAUAGAGUUUAAUUUAUGCUUUAAUUAUUAGAGUUUAGUAUUUAAAAUUUUAUUUUUGUAUAAAUUUAGUUGGGGUGAUUGAAAAAUUAGUGUAACUUUUUUUUUAUUUAAACAUUUAUUUGUGAAUAGUUGAUCCUUUUUAAGAUUAUAAGAUAAAAUUACCUUAGGGAUAACAGCGUAAUUUUUUUUAGAGUUCUUAUCGAAAAGAAAGAUUGCGACCUCGAUGUUGGAUUAAAAUUUAAUUUUUGGUGUAGAAGCUAAUAAAUUAGGUCUGUUCGACCUUUAAAUUUUUACAUGAUCUGAGUUUAAACCGGCGUGAG